rnacentral:miRNA from 1 species
GCAAGCAUCCUUGGUUCUCC